GUGUCUAUCGUACCUUGUUGCUUCGGCGGGCCCGCCGUUUCGACGGCCGCCGGGGAGGCCUUGCGCCCCCGGGCCCGCGCCCGCCGAAGACCCCAACAUGAACGCUGUUCUGAAAGUAUGCAGUCUGAGUUGAUUAUCGUAAUCAGUUAAAACUUUCAACAACGGAUCUCUUGGUUCCGGCAUCGAUGAAGAACGCAGCGAAAUGCGAUAAGUAAUGUGAAUUGCAGAAUUCAGUGAAUCAUCGAGUCUUUGAACGCACAUUGCGCCCCCUGGUAUUCCGGGGGGCAUGCCUGUCCGAGCGUCAUUGCUGCCCUCAAGCACGGCUUGUGUGUUGGGCCCCCGUCCCCCUCUCCCGGGGGACGGGCCCGAAAGGCAGCGGCGGCACCGCGUCCGGUCCUCGAGCGUAUGGGGCUUUGUCACCUGCUCUGUAGGCCCGGCCGGCGCCAGCCGACACCCAACUUUAUUUUUCUAAGGUUGACCUCGGAUCAGGUAGGGAUACCCGCUGAACUUAAGCAUAUCAAUAAGCGGAAGAAUCAUUACCGAGUGAGGGCCCUCUGGGUCCAACCUCCACCGUGUCUAUCGUACCUUGUUG
rnacentral:rRNA from 1 species